GACGAACGCUGGCGGCGUGCUUAACACAUGCAAGUCGAACGGAAAGGCCCUGCUUUUGUGGGGUGCUCGAGUGGCGAACGGGUGAGUAACACGUGAGUAACCUGCCCUUGACUUUGGGAUAACUUCUGGAAACUGGGGCUCAUACCGGAUAGGAGCUCCUGCUGCAUGGUGGGGGUUGGUAAGAUACGGCGGUUCGGGAUGGACGCGCGGCUUAUCAGCUUGUUGGUGGGGUAGUGGGUUACCAAGGCUCUGACGGGUAGCCAGCCUGGGAGGGUGACCGGCCACAUUGGGCCUGGGGUAGGGCCCAGACUCCAACGGGGGGCAGCGGUGGGAAUUAUUGCACACUGGGCGGAAGCCUGAUACAACGACGCCGGGUGCGGGAUGACGGCCUUCGGGUUGUAAACCGCUUUCGCCUGUGACGAAGCGUGAGUGACGGUAAUGGGUAAGGAAGCACCGGCUAACUACGUG
rnacentral:rRNA from 1 species